UAGGAUUAAGUGUAAUCUCUUCUUCUUGGUCCUAGGCAACUUCGGUUAGGAGAAGGCUUUGGAGUACAGGGAAGACUGAGCAGGGAGAAGGACAGAUCAGGGUUCAGAUCUGAUUUCUGCUCUCACAAGUUGAGUGACUACUGGCAUUUGGCAACAAAUUUCUUUGCAGUUCAGUUCCUUGUGGGUAAAAGGAUAAUAGCCAAUGUUUACUAAGACGAAGUUUUGGCUGAAACCUCAAAGAUGGGGACAAAGCUAAGUAGCCGUGUGUCCUAAAGACAGGACCUCGACCCCUCUCCACAAGAAUGCCUGGUCUGUAUCCAAAUCAACAUUCCCAAUAGCUUGUUUAUAGGAAGGCUAGAAGCUUCCUUAGAGAAAAGGAAUUCUUCCAAGGAGCCUCGUAGUAUUGGGUAUGGCAUUGCUUCCAUUCACCCACAACAAGAUGAGGACAUCUAGGAUAAUUGAUCUUAGAGAGAGGAUUCAUUGGAAGAGGGCAGGCUGGAUGCUUGUAGGAUGUGGAGAUGCAGGGACUGGUCCCAAGCUGUCCAGUCUUGGAGCAUAGUGGAAUUCUUGGGAGAUCUUCAAAUAUGUUCUGUUGGCAUUGGUUGCUAAGAGACUGGUGCUUAGCGCCUGCUUGGAGAAGGCUGGGGCUGGGGCUCGUGAAAGCUGCCCACAAUGGCAAAGCAGGUAUGUGGGCAUUUUACUAGGGCCAGGUGAAUGCCAUGGAAAGCAGCCAGCUUAACUUAUCUGCUCAAAUGGACUGGGGUACCACGAGGUACAGACACUGAGAGAAGUCACAAGAGGUUAGUAGAGUGCCUUGCCAAGUCAGGGUCUCGAAUGAAAGCCACCAUUUGGAUCCCACUAUUUGUAGGGCCUUCAACAGCUAAAAGGACACCAAGAACAGCAUCUGCCACGAGAUCUCUCAUCCUUCUCUCUACUCUAACCUUGGAAUAUCCAUCGGCAAUUAGGCGAGUCAGCAACACUGUGAGAUGGAUGGGGUGAGCCCUGCAUGACAGACGGGACCCAGAGAACGGGAAAGGUCACCAGCUUACCCAGGUCAGUGACAUCAAAGCAGCCCUUGCAACAGUGAUUUGGGUGAAUGUAGAUUCAAUGCCUGCAGAAGGCCCUGGAGAGAGAAGAAAUGCAGGGAGCAGGAUGGGCAGAGGAGGAUUCUAAGCAAGGAUGUGGUCUCUGGUCUCGGCAGGAUCCAGCCUUCGCCUGAUCAAAAAGGGAGCUCUGGAGCAUGAAACACGCCUGCUUAGUCAUUGCCCCUUUGAGGCAGUGUGGAAAGACGAGAGAUACCUUCUCACAGCAGUAGGGGAAUUUGUGUGGGGACCAAGUAAAGGGAAUCUGGAAAGGGAACCAACAUCCCAGCUCCACUGUCCUCGAACAUUGAAGGACUGAUUGAUGAGGGCCACAAGUGUCCAUUUGCAUUACAAUGGAAAGCCGCAGCAUCAUUAAAAAGAUCGAAUUGGAACUAAAGAAAACCUGCUACCUUUUAGACGCUUGGACACGCUGAAUAAGGAGAUUAAGCAGAGGGAGGUGGGAAAGUUGGUCCUAAAUGGUUAAUUUCCUCUACCACUUGCAAACCAUUCAACUGAAGUGAAGUGAGAAUGAGUUUGGUCCAUGGCUGACUACCUUCAGAACCUUCUGCUAUUCUUUGUGAUGAGGCCUUCAAGGAAGGCCCCGUUGCCAGCCUUGAGAUUGCUGAUUUCAAGGCACUUCUAAGACAAAAAUAAAAAUUCCAUUACUUUC